rnacentral:rRNA from 1 species
AUUGAACGCUGGCGGCAGGCUUAACACAUGCAAGUCGAGCGGGGGGAGGUAGCUUGCUACCGGACCUAGCGGCGGACGGGUGAGUAAUGCUUAGGAAUCUGCCUAUUAGUGGGGGACAACAUCUCGAAAGGGAUGCUAAUACCGCAUACGUCCUACGGGAGAAAGCAGGGGAUCACUUGUGACCUUGCGCUAAUAGAUGAGCCUAAGUCGGCUUAGCUAGUUGGUGGGGUAAAGGCCUACCAUGGCGACGAUCUGUAGCGGGUCUGAGAGGAUGAUCCGCCACACUGGGACUGAGACACGGCCCAGCCUCCUACGGGAGGCAGCAGUGGGGAAUAUUGGACAAUGGGGGGAACCCUGAUCCAGCCAUGCCGCGUGUGUGAAGAAGGCCUUAUGGUUGUAAAGCACUUUAAGCGAGGAGGAGGCUCUUUUGGUUAAUACCCAAGAUGAGUGGACGUUACUCGCAGAAUAAGCACCGGCUAACUCUGUGCCAGCCGCCGCCGUAA